CCUUUGACGUUAGCGGCGGACGGGUGAGUAACACGUGGAUAACCUACCUAUAAGACUGGGAUAACUUCGGGAAACCGGAGCUAAUACCGGAUAACAUAUUGAACCGCAUGGUUCAAUAGUGAAAGGCGGCUUUGCUGUCACUUAUAGAUGGAUCCGCGCCGUAUUAGCUAGUUGGUAAGGUAACGGCUUACCAAGGCAACGAUACGUAGCCGACCUGAGAGGGUGAUCGGCCACACUGGAACUGAGACACGGUCCAGACUCCUACGGGAGGCAGCAGUAGGGAAUCUUCCGCAAUGGGCGAAAGCCUGACGGAGCAACGCCGCGUGAGUGAUGAAGGUCUUCGGAUCGUAAAACUCUGUUAUCAGGGAAGAACAAAUGUGUAAGUAACUGUGCACAUCUUGACGGUACCUGAUCAGAAAGCCACGGCUAACUACGUGCCAGCAGCCGCGGUAAUACGUAGGUGGCAAGCGUUAUCCGGAAUUAUUGGGCGUAAAGCGCGCGUAGGCGGUUUUUUAAGUCUGAUGUGAAAGCCCACGGCUCAACCGUGGAGGGUCAUUGGAAACUGGAAAACUUGAGUGCAGAAGAGGAAAGUGGAAUUCCAUGUGUAGCGGUGAAAUGCGCAGAGAUAUGGAGGAACACCAGUGGCGAAGGCGACUUUCUGGUCUGUAACUGACGCUGAUGUGCGAAAGCGUGGGGAUCAAACAGGAUUAGAUAC
rnacentral:rRNA from 1 species